GACGAACGUUGGCGGCGUGCUUAAUACGUGCAAGUCCACUGAAGCAGUGGUAGCAAUAUCGCUGUGGAGGUGGCGCACGGGUGAGUAACACGUAGGUAAUCUGCCUUCAGGUCUGGCAUAACUCCGGGAAACCGGGGCUAAUAGCAGAUGAUGCAGCGGCUCGACAUCGAGACAGUUGUUAAAGCUAUGGCGCCUGAAGAUGAGCCUGCGUCUGAUUAGCUAGUUGGCGGGGUAACGGCCCACCAAGGCAACGAUCAGUAGCUGGUCUGAGAGGAUGAUCAGCCACACUGGAACUGAGACACGGUCCAGACUCCUACGGGAGGCAGCAGUAAGGAAUAUUGCUCAAUGGGAGAAAUCCUGAAGCAGCAGCGCCGCGUGAGGGACGAAGGGCUUUUGCUUGUAAACCUCUGUAGUGAGAGAAAAAAAUCCCAAUCUUUGGGACAUGAUGGUAGCUCAAAAGUAAGCCCCGGCUAACUACGUG
rnacentral:rRNA from 1 species